rnacentral:rRNA from 1 species
UUUCUAGUGUAGAGGUGAAAUUCGUAGAUAUUAGAAAGAAUACCAAUUGCGAAGGCAGCUUUCUGGAUCAUUACUGACACUGAGGAACGAAAGCAUGGGUAGCGAAGAGGAUUAGAUACCCUCGUAGUCCAUGCCGUAAACGAUGUGUGUUAGACGUUGGGAAUUUAUUUUCAGUGUCGCAGCAAAAGCGAUAAACACACCGCCUGGGGAGUACGACCGCAAGGUUAAAACUCAAAUGAAUUGACGGGGACCCGCACAAGUAGUGGAGCAUGUGGUUUAAUUCGAAGAUACGCGCAGAACCUUACCAACACUUGACAUGUUCGUCGCGACUUUAAGAGAUUAAAGUUUUCGGUUCGGCCGGACGAAACACAGGUGCUGCAUGGCUGUCGUCAGCUCGUGUCGUGAGAUGUUGGGUUAAGUCCCGCAACGAGCGCAACCCUCACUUUUAGUUGCCAUCAUUUAGUUGGGCACUCUGAAAGAACUGCCAGUGAUAAGCUGGAGGAAGGUGGGGAUGACGUCAAGUCCUCAUGGCCCUUACGUGUUGGGCUACACACGUGCUACAAUGGUAUCUACAACAGGAAGCGAAACAGCGAUGUUAAGCAAAUCCUUAAAAGAUACCUCAGUUCGGAUUGCACUCUGCAACUCGAGUGCAUGAAGCUGGAAUUACUAGUAAUCGUGGAUCAGCGUGCCACGGUGAAUGCGUUCCCGGGUCUUGUACACACCGCCCGUCACACCAUGGGAGUUGGUUCUACCUUAAGGCAAGGCAUAAAACCCUUGACCACGGUAUAGUCAGCGACUGGGGUGAAGUCGUAACAAGGUAGCCGUAGGGGAACCUGCGGCUG